GGAAGUGACUCAAGUUCAGGAGCUGGCAGUGAAAUUACUUCCGUGGCUUCUAAGCUCCCUUUCCAGCCCUUCCAAAUCUAAUGAGAAUGAAAGCUAAAAAGAAAGCCCCACCAACUCAGAAGCUCAAGUGCUUACAGUGAGUAGAAACCGAUGGGGAAGGUACUGGUGGAGUUAUGACAACUUUCACUCAGUGGAAGUC